rnacentral:rRNA from 1 species
CCUACGGGCGGCAGCAGUGAGGAAUAUUGGUCAAUGGACGAGAGUCUGAACCAGCCAAGUAGCGUGAAGGAUGACUGCCCUAUGGGUUGUAAACUUCUUUUAUAUGGGAAUAAAAUGUUCCACGUGUGGGAUUUUGUAUGUACCAUAUGAAUAAGGAUCGGCUAACUCCGUGCCAGCAGCCGCGGUAAUACGGAGGAUCCGAGCGUUAUCCGGAUUUAUUGGGUUUAAAGGGAGCGUAGGUGGAUUGUUAAGUCAGUUGUGAAAGUUUGCGGCUCAACCAUAAAAUUGCAGUUGAAACUGGCAGUCUUGAGUACAAUAGAGGUGGGCGGAAUUCGUGGUGUAGCGGUGAAAUGCUUAGAUAUCACGAAGAACUCCGAUUGCGAAGGCAGUUCACUGGACUGCAACUGACACUGAGGCUCGAAAGUGUGGGUAUCAAACAGGAUUAGAUACCCGAGUAGUC